rfam:Capsicum annuum cultivar Zunla-1 unplaced genomic scaffold scaffold9, whole genome shotgun sequence
UAUUGAUGGUGUGGAUAGUCCCUAAGAAGAUCCUUAAAUCGCUCCCAAGCAUGAUAGAGAUUCUUGUCUGUCUUCUGUUUGAAAUAUACUAUCUCACUGCAAAGU